CCAUGACUGAGCAGGGGGCUGGGACAUCUUCCUGCAACCGGGCCUGACUGCUGGCCACUGUGAGCAGAGAGGGAGUGGGCUCCAGGCUCAGCAGUGCCAGGGUGACUCCCCACUCUGGUGAAGCAAUUAAGGACAUUUUCAAGUGCUGAGUGGCUGCCGGCAGGCAGCUUUGACCAGGCCCUGAUGGAGGAGGGGAGGAAACAGAGGUUCAAUAACAUUAGGCCGUUUCAGAGAUGCAGCUGGGAUUUGAAGGCAGCUCUGAGUUCACAACCACUUCAUCUACUGUCUCUGGGAGAUUGGCGUGGCCUGUCGGAGUGCCCCGGGUCCCUGAGGAAGGGGACUGGGUCAGGGGAAGACUCUGGAGAUGCACCUGCAAUCUGUUCUCAACAAAUCAGCCAGAGAGGGAUCCUGCGGAACAGGAAUCAGCUGUGUGUCGCUCUUCUGCUCAAAGGUCUUCAACAGUUCCCACCUCAAAGUAAAACCCAAUAGCCUAUAAAGCCCCCUUUACCUCCCUGGUUAAAUUUAUCCAUGAUAUUUUAUCUUUUGUGGUGUAACUGUAUCCCCCUCACCUCUCUGAACUCACCUCCUACUGCUUUCCCUCUCGUCUACUGCACUCCAGCUACCCGGACCCCCUGGCUCUCCUGGAGCACAUUAGGCCUCCUCUCACCUCAGGGCCUUUGCACGUGCUACUUCUGCUGCUUGGUUCAAGUCCUAGCUCGGCUACUUCUUCAUUAUGUCCCUCUCUGAGCCUCACAUCCCUCUUCUAUAAUUGGGUUAAUGCUGUACACCCCACCUCCCUCUCCAGGCUAACAGGAUCCCGAUGACAAAGCAGGCAACAGACGAAGCCCUCCCUCCAGCUCUAGGCGAUCCCUGCAAGAGGGCUCGUAAAGGUCCUCACUGCGUCCUUGAGAAAACAGGCCCUUUGAUGAGCAGUGGGCUCUGGGCCCCCAGACCUUAAGCUGGAUCGACACGCUGGAGCCUCCCAGCCUGCAAAUCCUUGGGACUUACAGAUGCUGGAAAAGCAAGUGUUAAAUAAUAAUCACGAUGUGUCGGAGGGGAAGCCGGAUGUGUUGGAAAGCUUGACACAUCUGGCAGGGCCAGGCCCAAGUCCCCCGGCACAUCUGGCUGCUGUAUUGACAGGUGGUGCAGUGGGUCACUGAGGAAGGGCCUGGCGGGCCCAGUCCUGGUGCCACAAGCUGGGGGAGGGAUUUGGGGGAUGAUGGCCGGAUGUAGCCCGGGAGCAUCUCCAACGCUGCCCAUGGGCCAUAGCCCUCCUGCGGGUCACCUCUGGGCCGUCCACUGUCCCUUGGUGUCUGUGCUCUAAGAGGCCACCUUGGGACCCAGAACCUGGUCUGCCAGAUUCCCAAACCCCUGCAACAUUGUGUCGGCGCCAGCCACCCCUGCGGGGGCUUGGAGAGUCAGGAAAGCCUCCCUCCCUUCUCCAGCUGGGGGGUGGGGUGGGAUGGAUUUUCGGGGUCACUUCAUGUCGCACUUCCCUUUCUAUGAGAUCCAGAAAUGUGGUCA